GACGAACGCUGGCGGCGUGCUUAACACAUGCAAGUCGAACGGUCUCCAUCCAGUAGCAAUACUGGGGAAGAGAUAGUGGCGAACGGGUGAGUAACACGUGAGAAACCUGCCCCGGUCUCUGGGAUAACAGUCGGAAACAACUGCUAAUACUGGAUGCCGUCGGAGCGUCGCAUGGCGCGCUGACGAAAGGGUUACCGGAUCGGGAGGGUCUCGCGACCUAUCAGCUAGUUGGUGGGGUAAUGGCCUACCAAGGCAUCGACGGGUAGCUGGUCUGAGAGGAUGAUCAGCCACACUGGGACUGAGACACGGCCCAGACUCCUACGGGAGGCAGCAGUGGGGAAUCUUGCGCAAUGGGCGAAAGCCUGACGCAGCAACGCCGCGUGCGGGAAGAAGGCCUUCGGGUUGUAAACCGCUUUCAGAAGGAACGAAACUGACGGUACUUUCAGAAGAAGGUGCGGCCAACUACGUG
rnacentral:rRNA from 1 species